rnacentral:rRNA from 1 species
CCCGGUCGGGCGCCGUCGAAGUUGACCUGGAAAGGCACGUCGGAGAGGGUGAGAGCCCCGUGCGCGACGCCGCCUGGCCGGGCUGCCGCUGUCUUCGGAGAGUCGGGUUGUUUGGGAAUGCAGCCCAAAGUGGGUGGUAAACUCCAUCUAAAGCUAAAUACCGGCACGAGACCGAUAGCGAACAAGUACCGUGAGGGAAAGGUGAAAAGUACUUUGAAAAGAGAGUCAAAAAGACCGCGAAACCGUUAGGAGGGAAACGAAUGCGGCUGAAGCGGCUCCCCGUCAGGCUCAGGAGCUUUUCGGGCGGGUUUUCCGGGCGGCGAGCGGAGGCCCCCUUAAACGGGGCUCCGAAACCCUUCGCCCGGUCCCGCCUGGCGCUCUGCAAUUCUGCGGGGAGCCGGCCAACGGCAGUUGCCCCCGGCUCGGGAGGCGUUUCGGGGGAGGUGGCCCCGCGCUUGACCGCGCGGGGAGCGUACAGCCCCGGCGCCCGGCAGUCCGGGAACGGCCUCGUCUUUUUUGUCGAGGCGCGGCGACUGAGGAGAGAAACGAAACGUUGCGGUCCUUCGCACGUUGCGGCGCGGGCCUUUUUUCCCCCCCCCGUCCUUUGSGGGGKGGGGGGGGGGGAGGGGCUGGGCCUCUCCCGUCGGGCAGGCGGCCGAGGCGGCCGCUGCGUGUCAGCGGUCGCCGACGGUAUUCCGUCGGCUCUGGCGGGAGGCAGGUCACACCUCGCGCCGCGGUUGUUGGCGUCCGAAU